rnacentral:rRNA from 1 species
GAUGAACGCUGGCGGCGUGCCUAACACAUGCAAGUCGAGCGAUUCUCUUCGGAGAAGAGCGGCGGACGGGUGAGUAACGCGUGGGUAACCUGCCCUGUACACACGGAUAACAUACCGAAAGGUAUGCUAAUACGGGAUAACAUAAGAAAUUCGCAUGUUUUUCUUAUCAAAGCUCCGGCGGUACAGGAUGGACCCGCGUCUGAUUAGCUAGUUGGUGAGGUAAUGGCUCACCAAGGCGACGAUCAGUAGCCGACCUGAGAGGGUGAUCGGCCACAUUGGAACUGAGACACGGUCCAAACUCCUACGGGAGGCAGCAGUGGGGAAUAUUGCACAAUGGGCGAAAGCCUGAUGCAGCAACGCCGCGUGAGCGAUGAAGGCCCUCGGGUCGUAAAGCUCUGUCCUCAAGGAAGAUAAUGACGGUACUUGAGGAGGAAGCCCCGGCUAACUACGUGCCAGCCGCCGCAGUAAGAC